rnacentral:rRNA from 1 species
GACAGAGGGUGCAAACGUUGUUCGGAAUUACUGGGCGUAAAGGGCGCGUAGGCGGCUUGACAAGUCACUUGUGAAAUCUCCGGGCUUAACUCGGAACGGCCAAGUGAAACUGUCAUGCUAGAGUGCAGAAGGGCAAUCGGAAUUCUUGGUGUAGCGGUGAAAUGCGUAGAUAUCAAGAGGAACACCUGAGGUGAAGACGGGUUGCUGGGCUGACACUGACGCUGAGGCGCGAAAGCCAGGGGAGCAAACGGG